rnacentral:rRNA from 1 species
UACGUAGGGUGCAAGCGCUAAUCGGAAUUACUGGGCGUAAAGCGUGCGCAGGCGGUCUUGCAAGACAGAUGUGAAAUCCCCGGGCUUAACCUGGGAACUGCAUUUGUGACUGCAAGGCUGGAGUACGGUAGAGGGGGAUGGAAUUCCGCGUGUAGCAGUGAAAUGCGUAGAUAUCGGGAGGAAUACCGAUGGCGAAGGCAGGUCUCUGGGCUGACACUGACGCUCAUGCACGAAAGCGUGGGGAGCAAACAGG